GGACUACCCGGGUAUCUAAUCCUGUUCGCUCCCCACGCUUUCGCUCCUUAGCGUCAGUUCCGGCCCAGAGACCCGCCUUCGCCACCGGUGUUCCUCCUGAUAUCUGCGCAUUUCACCGCUACACCAGGAAUUCCAGUCUCCCCUACCGGACUCUAGCCUGCCCGUAUCGACUGCAGGCCCGGGGUUGAGCCCCGGGUUUUCACAGCCGACGCGACAGGCCGCCUACGAGCUCUUUACGCCCAAUAAUUCCGGACAACGCUUGCACCCUACGUAUUACCGCGGCGGCUGGCAC
rnacentral:rRNA from 1 species